rnacentral:rRNA from 1 species
GACAGAGGUGGCGACCGUUGUUCGGAAUCACUGGGCAUAAAGCGCGCGUAGGCGGCAUGGUAAGUCGGGUGUGAAAUCCCUCGGCCCAACCGAGGAAUUGCGCUCGAAACUACCGUGCUUGAGGACAGGAGGGGAGCCUGGAAUUCCUGGUGGAGCGGUGAAAUGCGUUGAUAUCAGGAGGAACACCGGCGGCGAAGGCGAGGCUCUGGCCUGUUUCUGACGCUGAGGCGCGAAAGCUAGGGGAGCAAAC